UUGUCAGGGAUUAAUGCUUUUGGGAAAUGAACAUGCAGAUCCUGAGGCUUUGGCUGAAAUUCUCCCUGAAACUUGUAAAUCAAUCACGUAUUCUUUAGAAAAUAAGACCUACUCAUCUGUGAGAACAGAAGCUUUCUCUUAUCCACAUCUGACUCU